UCACCAAGGGGACGACGGGUACCCGCCUUAGAGGGUGACCGGCCACACUGGGACUGAGACACGGCCCAGAUUCCUACGGGAGGCAGCAGUGGGGAAUAUUGCACAAUGGGCGAAAGCCUGAUGCAGCGACCCCGCUUGAGGGAUGACGGCCUUCGGGUUGUAAACCUCUUUCAGCACGGAAGAAGCGAAAGUGACGGUACGUGCAGAAGAAGCGCCGGCUAACUACGUGCCAGCAGCCGCGGUAAUACGUAGGGCGCAAGCGUUGUCCGGAAUUAUUGGGCGUAAAGAGCUCGUAGGCGGUUUGUCGCGUCUGCUGUGAAAGCCCGGGGCUUAACCCCGGGUGUGCAGUGGGUACGGGCAGACUUGAGUGCAGUAGGGGAGACUGGAAUUCCUGGUGUAGCGGUGAAAUGCGCAGAUAUCAGGAGGAACACCGAUGGCGAAGGCAGGUCUCUGGGCUGUUACUGACGCUGAGGAGCGAAAGCAUGGGGAGCGAACAGGAUUAGAUACCCUGGUAGUCCAUGCCGUAAACGUUGGGCACUAGGUGUGGGGAACAUUCCACGUUUUCCGCGCCGUAGCUAACGCAUUAAGUGCCCCGCCUGGGGAGUACGGCCGCAAGGCUAAAACUCAAAGGAAUUGACGGGGGCCCGCACAAGCGGCGGAGCAUGCGGAUUAAUUCGAUGCAACGCGAAGAACCUUACCAAGGCUUGACAUACACCGGACCGGGCCAGAGAUGGUCUUUCCCCCUUGUGGGGCUGGUGUACAGGUGGUGCAUGGUUGUCGUCAGCUCGUGUCGUGAGAUGUUGGGUUAAGUCCCGCAACGAGCGCAACCCUCGUUCUAUGUUGCCAGCACGUGAUGGUGGGGACUCAUAGGAGACUGCCGGGGUCAACUCGGAGGAAGGUGGGGAUGACGUCAAAUCAUCAUGCCCCUUAUGUCUUGGGCUUCACGCAUGCUACAAUGGCCAGUACAAUGGGUUGCGAUGCCGCGAGGUGGAGCUAAUCCCAAAAAGCUGGUCUCAGUUCGGAUCGUGGUCUGCAACUCGACCACGUGAAGUCGGAGUCGCUAGUAAUCGCAGAUCAGCAACGCUGCGGUGAAUACGUUCCCGGGCCUUGUACACACCGCCCGUCAAGUCACGAAAGUUGGUAACACCCGAAGCCGGUGGCCUAACCCUUGUGGGGGAGCCGUCGAAUGUGNUU
rnacentral:rRNA from 1 species